rnacentral:rRNA from 1 species
CCUACGGGAGGCAGCAGUAGGGAAUAUUGCACAAUGGGCGAAAGCCUGAUGCAGCAACGCCGCGUGUGCGAUGAAGGCCUUCGGGUCGUAAAGCACUUUUCUGAGGGAUGAGCAAGGACAGUACCUCAGGAAUAAGUCUCGGCUAACUACGUGCCAGCAGCCGCGGUAAUACGUAGGGACCAAGCGUUGUUCGGAUUUACUGGGCGUAAAGGGCGCGUAGGCGGCGUGACAAGUCACUUGUGAAAUCUCCGGGCUUAACUCGGAACGGUCAAGUGAUACUGUCGUGCUAGAGUGCAGAAGGGGCAAUCGGAAUUCUUGGUGUAGCGGUGAAAUGCGUAGAUAUCAAGAGGAACACCUGAGGUGAAGACGGGUUGCUGGGCUGACACUGACGCUGAGGCGCGAAAGCUAGGGGAGCAAACGGGAUUAGAUACCCCGGUAGUCCUAGCCCUAAACGAUGAAUACUUGGUGUCUGGAGUUUUUAUCCUCCGGGUGCCGUCGCUAACGUUUUAAGUAUUCCGCCUGGGGAGUACGCACGCAAGUGUGAAACUCAAAGGAAUUGACGG